GCGUCUGUAGCUCAGUUGGAUAGAGUGUUCGGCUCCGACCCGGAAGGUCGCUGGUUCGAAUCCAGUCAGGCGCA
rnacentral:tRNA from 1 species